CAGCAGCAGCCGCGGGAAUACGUAGGUGGCAAGCGUUGUCCGGAAUUAUUGGGCGUAAAGCGCGCGCAGGCGGAUAGGUCAGUCUGUCUUAAAAGUUCGGGGCUUAACCCCGUGAUGGGAUGGAAACUGCCAAUCUAGAGUAUCGGAGAGGAAAGUGGAAUUCCUAGUGUAGCGGUGAAAUGCGUAGAUAUUAGGAAGAACACCAGUGGCGAAGGCGACUUUCUGGACGAAAACUGACGCUGAGGCGCGAAAGCCAGGGGAGCGAACGGGAUUAGAUACCCCCGUAGUCCCUGUCUCUUAUACA
rnacentral:rRNA from 1 species